GACGAACGCUGGCGGCGUGCCUAAUACAUGCAAGUCGAACGCAGUGGGGACGGGUGCGUAACACGUGGGUAACCUCCCAUCAGAGGGGAUAACACUUGGAAACAGGUGCUAAACCGAUACUGAUGGAUGGACCCGCGGUGCAUUAGCUGGUUGGUGAGGUAACGGAUCACCAAGGCCACGCUGCAUAGAUGACCGGAGAGGGUGAUCAGCGACACUGGGACUGAAACACGGCCCAGACUCCGACGGGAGGCACAAGUAGGGAAUCUGCGGCAAUGGACGAAAGUCUGACCGAGCAACGCCGCGUGAGUGAAGAAGGUUUUCGGAUCGUAAAACUCUGUUGUUAGAGAAGCGGUAUCUAACCAGAAAGCCACGGCUAACUACGUGCCAGCAGCCGCGGUAAUAC
rnacentral:rRNA from 1 species